rnacentral:rRNA from 1 species
GACGAACGCUGGCGGCGUGCUUAACACAUGCAAGUCGAACGGAAAGGCCCUGCUUUUGUGGGGUGCUCGAGUGGCGAACGGGUGAGUAACACGUGAGUAACCUGCCCUUGACUUUGGGAUAACUACAGGAAACUGGGGCUAAUACCGGAUAGGAGCUCCUGCUGCAUGGUGGGGGUUGGAAAGUUUCGGCGGUUGGGGAUGGACUCGCGGCUUAUCAGCUUGUUGGUGGGGUAGUGGCUUACCAAGGCUUUGACGGGUAGCCGGCCUGAGAGGGUGACCGGCCACAUUGGGACUGAGAUACGGCCCAGACUCCUACGGGAGGCAGCAGUGGGGAAUAUUGCACAAUGGGCGGAAGCCUGAUGCAGCAACGCCGCGUGCGGGAUGACGGCCUUCGGGUUGUAAACCGCUUUCGCCUGUGACGAAGCGUGAGUGACGGUAAUGGGUAAAGAAGCACCGGCUAACUACGUGCCAGCAGCCGCGGUGAUACGUAGGGUGCGAGCGUUGUCCGGAUUUAUUGGGCGUAAAGGGCUCGGAGGUGGUUGAUCGCGUCGGAAGUGUAAUCUUGGGGCUUAACCCUGAGCGUGCUUUCGAUACGGGUUGACUUGAGGAAUUUAGGGGAGAAUGGAAUUCCUGGUGGAGCGGUGGAAUGCGCAGAUAUCAGGAGGAACACCAGUGGCGAAGGCGGUUCUCUGGGCCUUUCCUGACGCUGAGGAGCGAAAGCGUGGGGAGCGAACAGGCUUAGAUACCCUGGUAGUCCACGCUGUAAACGGUGGGUACUAGGUGUGGGGUCCAUUCCACGGGUUCCGUGCCGUAGCUAACGCUUUAAGUACCCCGCCUGGGGAGUACGGCCGCAAGGCUAAAACUCAAAGGAAUUGACGGGGCCCCGCACAAGCGGCGGAGCAUGCGGAUUAAUUCGAUGCAACGCGUAGAACCUUACCUGGGUUUGACAUGGAUCGGGAGUGCUCAGAGAUGGGUGUGCCUCUUUUGGGGUCGGUUCACAGGUGGUGCAUGGCUGUCGUCAGCUCGUGUCGUGAGAUGUUGGGUUAAGUCCCGCAACGAGCGCAACCCUUGUUCACUGUUGCCAGCACGUUAUGGUGGGGACUCAGUGGAGACCGCCGGGGUCAACUCGGAGGAAGGUGGGGAUGACGUCAAGUCAUCAUGCCCCUUAUGUCCAGGGCUUCACGCAUGCUACAAUGGCUGGUACAGAGAGUGGCGAGCCUGUGAGGGUGAGCGAAUCUCGGAAAGCCGGUCUCAGUUCGGAUUGGAGUCUGCAACUCGACCUCAUGAAGUCGGAGUCGCUAGUAAUCGCAGAUCAGCAACGCUGCGGUGAAUACGUUCCCGGGGCU